AUCAUGUGAGAACUUUCACGGAUUUCCUCAACAUAGCUAAAUUUAAAUUGUCUGCAGAUGCAUAUGAAGAUGGUGUUUACCUGCUAACAUCAUUUACUGCUAAUCAGACUGUUUUGGAUAUCAGAGUUAUACAUCAGAAUUACACUGAUCCAAACAACCUGAUGUUUACCGACGUCAAAGUCCUGGGGGUGCCCACCAGUGUCCAGCAGGUGACAGUGUCUCAGAAUGGGCAGGCAAUCCCAUCAUCCCCCGACUGCGUCUAUGAGAGCAACAAGAAGCUCCUGACAAUCACCAAGCUCCAGCUGCAACUGGGCCAGAACUACACCCUGCAAUGGAGCUGAAAUGGAAAAUAACAUCAGCCACACCACUGGGUUUUCUCAGACUUGCACAACCUCUUUCAAUUUUUCUCUUAAAACCACACCAGCACAGCCAGUUCGUACCCAGGUAUUUUUGUACAAAGCAGUCACGUGCCAGUGGUGACACUUUAGGAGAACUUCAUCUUUGAAAGCUGAGAACUGAAGGGAAAACUCUGUUUUUUCAGAGUAGAAUUCCUGUCUUAGUAUCUAAUACAUUUUGUGAAAAAAGAUGCAGCUGUUGUUACCUAAGUGGAGUUGAAGGCAUUAUUUUGCCCAUGUCUAAAUUCCAUCCUAAUUUUAAUUGCACCCAUGCAAGUUACUACUAUGGAGAAGAAUUGAAGUCAAAGCAAAUGUUUUCAGAUGACUGAUUUAGCGUGAAAUAAUAUUUCAAGUUUUUGAUCUACAAAAUACUCAAAUACUUAAAAAAAUCAUUUGAAGUUGAGGGGGUUUUGUACAACUUCAGCCACAUCUUUGUGUUUCCCAUGUUUGAACCUGAAGUUGUAAAAUUAAACCUGAGGUUUCAAGGUUAAUUAAUGAGUGUUGGUCUCUGUGUGUUUAUUUCACGGAAGGAAAUGUUGUUGUUGUUGUGUUUUUACCAUAAUAACAAUUAAUGUUAAAGCCUCCUUUUAUCCCAAGAGUGCAGCACGUGAACUAAAGAGACUGGGAAAACAUAUUUACAAUUAAAUUUGAGGGGAAGAAAUGGCUGUUGGAGGUAGUGGUGAUCUCCAGGGACUGUGCUUUACAUUCAUUUAAAG
rnacentral:lncRNA from 1 species